GGAGGAGACACGAGUAUGGAGCUUGCGCAGUAUCUACCCAACCUGCGGCUGGCCCGUGCGAAAGAGGAAAGUGCUUCCGGCAGCCUGGUUAGGGGUGGAACCAGGAAAGCGCAGGCGUAGCAAUUGCUGCUUACUCGUAGGUAGGAGGAGGAGUUUCUCAGACCAAGGUGAUGGAGGAAGACUGGGAGGCGCUAAAAUGAGACAGACGGAGUCCCCUCUCCUGUCCGCAAACUACAAUGCCUACAGUGCCUCGGUGUCAGCAUUUACUGUGAUUCAAGCACUGUGCUACAGUGUUUUUCAUAUGUCAUGGAAAAUUGUGCCAGAAAAUUAUGGUUUGAACAUGGGCAGUUUUCUCCUACCUUCAGCUAUAUCC
rnacentral:lncRNA from 1 species